GGAAGGAUCAUCAGUGAACACCACUGUCCUUUUAUUACACCCCCUAGUUGCACCCGGUAGGGCGUCUUUUUCGGCCAAUUCGUUGGCGCCAAGGAUGCCCUACCCUUUUUUUACCCCAAAAAAAACAACCCCCCAUUUCUCCCUUUUUUCCAAUCAACAUACCCCAUAAUACAAACAAAAGACAACUUUUAACAACGGAUCUCUUGGCUCUCGCAACGAUGAAGAACGCAGCGAACUGCGAUAAGUAAUGUGAAUUGCAGAAUUCCGUGAAUCAUCGAACCUUUGAACGCAUUUUGCGCUUCCAGGCAGCCCUGGGAGCACAUCUGUCUGAGUAUCAAUUUCACCCCUCUUUGCCGCGCACCCUUCACCGGGUCGCCGGCAAGACAAUGAGGAUCCUCCGAGCCUCGGAAAAUUUAUUUUUGGCGCGCGGACGUUCCUUGAAAAAGAGCAGUCGACGUGCGAGGCCCUACCAUAAACCUUGCCCACGUCGUUUUCUCGUACUUUCCCCUGUUUUCUCUUUCGUCAAACUUUUUUUUUCUUUCUCUUCCACGCCUGGCGCUCUUUUUCUCUUUUGAAGAAAAGCGCGAGGCAAGGGAGCAAAGGGAUCUUUAAAGUGCGAACCGAAAAAAAGAGAAUCAACUAAAAAGGGUCAACUCAAGCGCGUUAGGAAAGUUUCGUCUUUCUCACGUUUGAACCGACCUUCUUUUGGUUUUCUCCUUUUUCCUCGCGCUUUGCCCUCUUUGCCCCCGGACGGGAUGCUGAAACUGAAAAGGAAAGGGUACUGAACAGGCCGGAUCGAACACACAUCAUUCUUGAUCUCAGAUCAGAUGGGACUACCCGCUGAACUUAAGCAUAUCAGUAAGCGGAGGAAAAGAAACUAACUAGGAUUCCCUCAGUAACGGCGAGUGAAGCGGGAAGAGCUCAAAUUUAAAAUCUGGGGGUUGGGACGACCGGCCCUCCGAAUUGUAGUUUAGAGAGGUGUUUUCGGCGGCAUCGUGGGUCCAAGUUCCUUGGAACAGGACGUCAUAGAGGGUGAGAAUCCCGUAGACUGGCCUAGCCUGGUGCUGCUAUGUGAUACGCCUUCGACGAGUCGGGUUGUUUGGGACUACAGCCCAAAAUGGGUGGUAAAUUUCAUCUAAAGCUAAAUACGGGCGAGAGACCGAUAGCGAACAAGUACCGUGAGGGAAAGAUGAAAAGAACUUUGAAAAGAGAGUGAAAUAGUACGUGAAAUUGUUAAAAGGGAAGCGCUUGGAACCAGUACGAUGUCCUCGCGGGGAAUCCAGGCAGCUGUCCGCGUCCUCGCUUGCUGCGGACGAGCCGAUCACAUCGGCCGUCGGGUGGGCGCUGAGGGGCGCGGGCCGGCUGCUGCAUCUUCCUCGCGGUGGCGAGUCAGCAUCAGUUUGUCGCGCCGGAGAUGGGCGCCGGGGAGGUGGCCGCGGUCCGCAAGGGCCACGGCGUUAUAUCCCGGCGUCGUGUACGGCGUGCGCAGACUGAGGAAAUCGCAGCGUAUCCACGAGACCCGUGCUCGCGUGGCUGCCGACGCGCUGCUCUUCCUGUGCGUCCUUUGUCGGCGUACAGAUUGUAGCGCGGGGCGGUGGCCACCGCGGGUGCGUGACUGUCAUCCACUACGCUCCGGAUGCUUGACGAAAUGGUUCCAAUCGACCCGUCUUGAAACACGGACCAAGGAGUCUGACAUGUAUGCGAGUGUUUGGGUGGUUAAACCCGUACGCGAAAUGAAAGUAACCGUGGUGGGACGGCCGCAAGGCCUGCACCAUCGACCGAUCUGGAUACUUGUUUGAAAGAUUUGAGUACGAGCAUACCUGUCGGGACCCGAAAGAUGGUGAACUAUGCCUGAAUAGGGCGAAGCCAGAGGAAACUCUAGUGGAGGCUCGUAGCGAUACUGACGUGCAAAUCGUUCGUCGAAUUUGGGUAUAGGGGCGAAAGACUAAUCGAACCAUCUAGUAGCUGGUUCCCUC
rnacentral:misc_RNA from 1 species